ACCAACUAGUUUUAGGUGCACAAAACUUUAUUAAGAGCAGUUUCAGAUCAGGAAAUUAGCCUAGAACCUAGUAAGAGAAGUAUGCAUUUCUAAAGGGAACUUCAUUUGCUUUUAAUGAAGAAUUUAGUAUACAUAAUUUUUCGUUUAGUUGCUUUCUAACUGCAACUCAGAAUAAGCCUUAUGCUUACUAUUUUGCAUACACUGUGCAGAAAUGCAGAAGUCGGGCUCUCCCCUACAUCUCUUCAUCAUCAUGGAGAAACACAAGUUCCGCUUUGGCAUGAGGGACAAAGCAUAGACAGAUGAUGUAUGAGUCACUUCUGCAUCAUCCCUUCCUCCUGCUUCUGUGCCAGAUGCAGAGAGAUUGGCACUGGAGCAUAACAGCAGCGACUCCCAUAUCCUUCCACUUCAGUUUCUACACAGUGCAGUGUUCUUCAGCCUUGGGUUGUAAGACUGUAACUUCCAUCAUCCUUGCCUAUUGACUAAAUUGGCUGGGGAUAAGGGGAGGUGAAGUUUACAACAGCUGGGAUCCAAAGUUGAAGAGUAUUGCUGUAGUGGAAAAUACAGUCCAGUGUGCAUUAAGUUAUAUGUAUUUUUAACAUGGAUUAUGUGCAAAGAAGAAUUUGUUGGGAACAGUUUUAAUCUCUCAGUAACAUAAUCUAUAGAUGGCUGCAAGUGGCUCUUAAUACUGUAUCAGCAAAAACUUGUCAGCUUCCUGUAGCCUGGUUCUAACUCCACAGGUCCUGUACUUCCCUUUUAUCCAGUCCCAGAUGGCUCUUUAUGACUUCUAGUGCUUGAACUUGCACAACAUCUGUGGAGAAUCUGUGGUCCAGCAGAUACGAUUGGGCUCUUAACUCCUUUAAACCCCAGCCAACAUGGCCAACAGUUAAGAGCUGAUGGGAGUUGUAGUCCAGCAAGAUAUGGAGGGCCACAGAUUCCCCGUUCUCGGUGCAAAUGCUUGGUGCAGUGUUGUUACAUGUACCUUUGCUAUGCCUACUCAAUAGAGCUCAGCAGACAAUAGAGUCUAUUUUUAGAUCAAUACCCCUUUAAAAAGAAGAACAAUUUGCUCAAAAGCCACAAUGUACUAACCUCAGAACAAUAGCCCUUGCCAACUGCAGUAAUUCAAAGUAAUUGUCGCAGCACAAAGUACAGGACACAAAAUGUGGAAAAUGCAAAAUAUCGUCUGCUUCACAGAGAAUUCAAGAUUUGUAAGGUUUCCUGUAGAAUUACUGUAAAUUGGGGAAACAGCAAUUUCUCCCCUAAAAAUGGCUACAUGCGUUAUUCAUAUAUUCUACUAUCUGCUCAAUUUUUAUCUGUAAUAUUGGUUUAAUAAAUUAUACAAGGUUACAGGGUAAAUUCCAGGAUCAAAGUACCCAAAGCUGUUAAGUUAAAGGCCACUUUCAUUUAUGUACCAUAUAAACAACAUCAAAGUCCUACAGUCUCUUAUGUGAUGUUUACUUGCAAGUUAUGCUCCUUGCAUUCUUUCUUGUCCCAGUACUUUUCCCUUUUCAAGUUGGAAGCAACACUGAAGCUUUUAACCACUUGGGCUGUAGGUAGCCAGCUAUUCCCUGACCACUGGCUUUCUUAACUACUUCCUUUGGGGUUGGAUAGAAUAGCACGAAUUAGCAGUAGUAGGUAAUAUUUGGGAAAGUUGAGAGAUGCAAAUGGUUAAAAAGGACUCAAGACUGGAAGCAGCAGGAAAUCAGAACAAGUGUUUAUAUCAUGAGCUCACAAGUUACCAAGAGAAAGGAGAUGGAGAGUCCUGAACUUAGAAACAUGCACCAGCUAUUUACAGCCAGCAUGGAGCAAGCCUGAUGUUCUGAUAAUGCCUGCACCAUUGCUUUGCCAUUUAACUUUUGGUUAAACAUGCUGCAUCACUUAAGAUAAGCUUUGAAAUAACUCGGUUGUCAGAGUUAAAAGUCUGUAAUUUAUAACCAAAUCUCUUGUUAAACAUUGACCUAGUGUUCGCCUCAGUUUCAAUAUUGUCCUUAGCUGCAGAGGAAAGCAAUUAGGGCUCAAAGACCAAGGGAAAGUCUAGGUGCAUAUGGUAUCUACGUUAUACAAGAAUGCAGUAUUUUAGACUCUGGACUUCUGUGCCAUGUAAGCAGUACAGGAAAGAACUUUUACUUAUCAUUUCCAUGCUGUUAGGUACUUGGCUGAAUUUCCAAGUCAUGAGUCUUUUCUUAAAUUAGUUAUCAUGGAAUGCCUGUGGGUUGUUGUUUUUGAAAACAACACCACCACACAUUGAGUUACAUGUGUUGCCAGGUUGGUGCAGUAAACUUUUACCUCACCUAGUUACGGGUACUUUGCCUCCUAAGAGCUGCUGCCAUUGUGAUUUCUGUGAAUAAGAAAGUCAUGAAAAACAUUGCUAGCAUUGUCAGUAUGUGAUAGGAUGAAUUUACCCAUCCCCUAUUUGAGUAUCAUUCUUCCAAAAGUUAGCACUGAGUUCCUAUUUCUAUUUGAACAUAUCUAACUUGCGUAUGUGGAUGCAGUAUUGUGCGCUUCCUGAUUGUAACACUGCAACAACCAAGCAACGCCUCCUAAAUUUUGGGUAGGCUUCACCAUGACAUUGCUACAUUCUCUUUCCAAGUGUAGCUUUAUUAGCACCAAAGAGCAUGCACUGCAGAGACUCCCCUCCAUCGAUGGAACUUCACAAGUUAAAACUAGUUAAUUUUCCAUCUAACCAAAGGCUUGGUCAAGUGCUGUGACUGGAGGUUGAAAUUAUUCCGAAAUUCAGAGAGCUAUUAAUGGCUGGCAAAUAGAACAGUGUAUAUAAUUCUAUUAGCUACAACAUUUAAACUGCGGUUAACACAUGCCAUUUCUCACCCACUUUCUUUGAAACCUGAAUAGAUCAGAGAUUCGCUAUUCCUAAUAUCUUACAGAUACCAUUUGUCCCAUGCUUUGAAAUUGGGUAAAAUGCAAAAAAUAAAAAUAAAAAUGUAACUGGUCCUGUGGUUGUAUAUUCGUGUUCUGUCUGUGCCUUAGGAAGACUUGCACAAAAGGUUAAACUGUCUUUAUCAAAUACUCCAAGCUCCUGAAUAAAGUUUGUAUUUAGCUUAACCUUUACACUUUAUCUACCAUAUACUUUACUUUGACUUAGUUGAUGGAAUCACACUGCAGGGCAAGGGGGCAAAACUAAACAUUAUCAAUAGGUUAUCAACUAGAUUGUGCUCAGUAUGGAAAAUAUGCAUUGAGUGCAUUUAAGUUUCCUUUUAUCCUAAAGACUAGUUCGCUUUUAUUGGGUGUUUUUAAACAUUUGCUGAAAGACCAGCUACUUUCUAAGGUAAACAUCAUUGUCAAACCUGAUUCAUUUUGCCAUUAAAACAGCCUAUGUAAUUUAUAAUUCAGAAUCUACCCACAAAGCCUAGCUCCACCAUGGCUGAUUCACCUAAAGCAGCUUACAAAAUCCAGUUCUCUAGUUGUUAAUGCCCAUCCCAUCCUCUUUUAUUGUAUUUUACACCCUCAAUUGCUGGCAGUUACAGGUAGAUGAAGUUAACCGGUUGCAAGCACCUUCUUUUGGAUCCUCCAAGGCUUUUCCACUGUCCAAGAGCAAAGAGCAACUAGCUGGGAGGGAGCUGUAAAGCAAUGACAUUUGGAUCGAGUCAUGCAUGUGAUUAUCUCAUAUUAACAUCAAAUGAAGACAGAAGCCUGCUCCUUAUUUUAUGCAAGCUUCACCUGCAUCAAGCAAUAGUGUGGUGUGAAUGUAGAGAAUAAAUAAAAUGGGGAUAGGAAAAAGUUUCCAGGAUCUUACUACCAUGCUUGAACAAUAGCUACAGAGACUUCAUGAAUUUGUCCUUUUAAAGUGCAAUCAUAUGCACACUUUUGUUCUUUUUAUGCCGUUUACUUUGUAUUGAUGUUUCAUUGGCUUUAGAAAUAUGUAUUGAUACCUGUUAAUAUGUUGUACACUGACUCCUGACCACGGGAAGGCCAUUAUAGAAAUAUCUAAACUGGAGAAAUAUUGACAAAGUGAAUGUAAGGAAGCAUAGUGUCAGUGUAAUUAAACAUAAUGUUUAACCC